rnacentral:rRNA from 1 species
UGUUACGGCCGGAAAGCCUCUGUGAAUGACGCACCCGAUCCCAUCAGAACUCGGAAGUGCUACACAGAGGGCCCGAUAAGUACCAGCUUGACGAAAGUCGCUGGGAAUCCCGGGUGCUGUAGCGU